CCCGGAGACGCCUGCGGCCUCCCCCGGGAGGUGCCAGGCAGUGGCAGAAGCGGCUGCCUCAGGACGGGAGAACGGCUGCCUGCCCUGUGUGUCGAGGCUGAAGAUUGGAAAACGUGUGAAUUCCUCCCGCCGUGUUCCGUCUCAGGCAGCGCAGAAUACUCUCAUUAUUUCAGCAUCUUCCCUUGCGAUACUCACGGCCCGGUGCUGCCGUCCCAGCGGGGACAGGCUGCUCGGGGCUCCCGCAGGGCUCUGUGCUGCGGGGUGACCAGUACCCACUGGAAAACUUGUGCUUACCCCUCUGGCAACAAAACAGCAACCCUAACGCUUAAAGCCUUAGGGACAAAUACACCUUGGUCCUGGGAAUGUCCUGUUCGCUCUCUAGUCACUUGGUCAACAUUCCUGCCUUCUUGAUGACUGGUUCGUGCUCCUCUCUGUUGGGCAUCUCCUCCUGAGUUUGAAAAAUAAUAGUGAGAUAAACUGAAAUUACCUGCCUUUUACCUAGAUUGAGAGUAGGAGUGGAAACUGCUUUGUUGUGCACAGGAAGAAGCAUACAGCUUCUUUCAGGGAUAAUAAUCCAUAAAAUUCUCCCCACUGAAGCUUUGGUCUUAGAAAGAGCAUUUUUAUUAUAAGAGAGUUGUGGCUUUAAAAGAGAUAUUCCCCACCCUAUUCUCACUUAGAACAGCUGUCUCUCUCACAGUGAUUAAGGUUUGUAAUUUAAAAGGCCGCUGGGAGGGUUUUUGUUUAUAAUUAAGCUCUGUUUUUUGAUCGUGUGUUUUGCUGUACAGUGUGGGGGGCUAUGGAGUUUUGCCAGUGCUUUUUACUCUCUUCCAGAACGACCUUAGUGCUUUAUUUUGUUUGAAACUGAAUUUCCUCUGAUGAAAUUCCAGCAAUGGCGUGACUCUGGGUUAUUGCAUUUGUUAUGUGUGGAGAAUGUGAGCUAAAAUUUGUUGUACUUGUUGCACUGACACAGCUACGUUUUCCAUUUUUCCUAGCAGGAUCAAGGCCAGUGCAAGGUGUUCCCUCAGCAGAGCUGGCCACGCAGCCUUGAUGGGCCACACACCUGCCAAGGGGCCACGCCAACCAGCCUGAAACUAGUAUUAUGAAGUUAAUAAAAUACGUACUUUCAGAUCCCCUGAGAUAUUGGCUCCUGCAAGAAUGCCAGUGGCAGCUGGGAAGAAAAUGGCAAACACCGAGAAAAAUCCUUCCCCACUUCUGAAAUCUGGUCCAAAGUUUUCUGCAAAUAUUGAGGCUGAAAAUAGAGGUGAAAAUGAAAAAUACCAUUGGGAUUUGAUUCUGCUGUUACUUAAUGAAGGAGGUUUACCUUUGCUUCCCAUUCCAUGCCAGCAACAGAGAUGCCAAGAAGACAUACAACAGUUAUUGUGCCUAUUAUCCUGAUGUCAUUGGACUCAUCGACCAUCAGUGUAUCACUCUCCUGAAAGCACCGUGCUUUCUCCAUUAGCCACUCUCUCGACUGAGCCGGUGCUCACAGCUAUGUUCUGAAGGAUCACACAGAAAACAAAUAUUUGUGACACCCAGAGGACACCUGGAUGCAUAGGAGAGACGUGGAAUAAAGCAAUUCCCAAGAACAUCAGGUUUUACUGUCUCUGGAGCUGAAUGCAAUAUGCUGCUCACACCGAGCAUCAGCAGGUGGACUUGCUCACAGGAGAAAAGAUGAAAGAAUUGCUUAAGCAGACUAAAGACAUUAUUUUCUGGUACUAAAUUGUAUUUAUUGUAAACUGUAUUCAUACACAUUGUGUUGCUAUGUUAGUAGAGUAUCUAACACAGUGAGACUCUCGUGGUUGGCCUCUAUGUGCUGCUGCAACAAUUUCUGAAUAAUAUUCAGUGUAGAAACAGGGAUAAUUGCUCAGUAGUGAAAAGAGGCCUAGCUGGAGUGCUGCAUGGCAAAGUUGUGUGAUCAACUCUGGUGUUUUCUGUACAAGAACAGAAGGUACAAACAAUCACAACAGCAAAUGGGUAACAUUUUUUUGAAAACAAUCAGAGAAAUACCAGUGAAAUAAAUAAAUGUAGUAAAUGAAUAAUCCUUCCUGUGGUUUAGCUACCCACAUAACCAUAGUAGAUAGAAUUAGGAAUUGCCAUAUUUGUGAUGCCUCCAGAAUUUUAGCUUGUUUACAUCCACUUACAGACUAUAAUCUGUAUUUUAUCUCUUCAGCUCUUCUGCUCCAGAAUCUCUGAGGCAAUUUAGCAUUGUAAUAUGUUUCCUGUGGCUUGAAUAGAAAUUAGUCACAGUACUGAGGUUUAUACUCAUUGUUGCUGCUUUGAUUCUUUUAAUUUAUAAUUUAUCUUUUUAAUAAAAAGUUGUGACUGGUUUUACAGGGAGUUGGCAUUAGGUUAACUAUUUGCCAGGUAUUGACUAGGUCUUCUGCAAAGACCUUUAGGAAGGACCAUAGUCUGGCAGAGGGCCAGGUGUCACUCCUGGAGAGGAAUAAACAUGCUUUUAGCAUUUGAAGGGGGAUGAAGAUAUUUCCAGAUUAACUAAACAGGUCAAGGAGGGGAAACAUCUAUGAUUCUGUGUAAUAUGUGAAGCUUACUCAUCUUGCUUAAGCUUCAAGGCUGUUUCUGUUUUUUCUCCAUGGGCUCAAAACUGAAAGAUCAACUGUAUCUGAUGUUUAUGCUUAUGUUUUGACUCUCUCCUUAUGGAUGCAAGGCUGUAGAAUGCCUUUAACACAAUAAAUCCAGGAUUGUGCUCACAAAUGGAAAAUAAACGACUGGAUAAUACAUUUUUACAUGGAUUAAACUUGAUGCCUAUGGCCCUUUUGGUGCUAAAUGAAAUGGAAAUACAAGAUCUAUUGAAAGCCUGUGGCUUUGAUAAUUAAUUUGAUAAUAGUUAGAUAAUUUUUACAAUUCUUACCCCAAAAUAAUGAUGGAAGUGUUUACUCAAAAUACAGUAAAUAAAGUGAGGUAAGGAAGAUCAUCAGAAUAAUUCAAGGGGUUUUUUUGCUACAGUAGUGACAGUUUCAAAGACAAAAAAAGUAAAAGGGUUCAGUCUUUGUACUCGAAACAAGUUGUUCCCUAUGUACUUUGAAUUAAUUUGUGCACCCUAUGCCAUUAUUGUAAAUUAUGGCCUUAAACCCUCCAUAAAUGCAUUUUAAAUUGG